rnacentral:rRNA from 1 species
GAUGAACGCUGGCGGCGUGCCUAAUACAUGCAAGUCGAGCGAACAGACGAGGAGCUUGCUCCUCUGACGUUAGCGGCGGACGGGUGAGUAACACGUGGAUAACCUACCUAUAAGACUGGGAUAACUUCGGGAAACCGGAGCUAAUACCGGAUAAUAUAUUGAACCGCAUGGUUCAAUAGUGAAAGACGGUUUUGCUGUCACUUAUAGAUGGAUCCGCGCCGCAUUAGCUAGUUGGUAAGGUAACGGCUUACCAAGGCAACGAUGCGUAGCCGACCUGAGAGGAUGAUCGGCCACACUGGAACUGAGACACGGUCCAGACCCCUACGGGAGGCAGCAGUAGGGAAUCUUCCGCAAUGGGCGAAAGCCUGACGGAGCAACGCCGCGUGAGUGAUGAAGGUCUUCGGAUCGUAAAGCUCUGUUAUUAGGGAAGAACAAAUGUGUAAGUAACUAUGCACGUCUUGACGGUACCUAAUCAGAAAGCCACGGCUAACUACGUG